rnacentral:rRNA from 1 species
AACGUAGGAGACAAACGUUAUCCGGAGUUACUGGGCGUAAAGGGCGUGUAGGUGGUUGCGUAAGUCUGGCGUGAAAUUUUUCGGCUUAACCGGGAAAGGUCGUCGGAUACUGCACAACUAGAGGACGGUAGAGGCGUGUGGAAUUCCGGGUGUAGUGGUGAAAUGCGUAGAGAUCCGGAGGAACACCAGUGGCGAAGGCGACACGCUGGGCCGUACCUGACACUGAUGCGCGACAGCAUGGGGAGCAAACAGG